CUAUACAUGACUCUGCGCAUAUCAAUAAGCGGAGGAAAAGAAACUAACAAGGAUUCCCUUAGUAACGGCGAGUGAAGCGGGAAGAGCUCAAAUUUGAAAUCUUCAAGGUUCUACCUUGACGAAUUGUAGUUUAUAGAAGUGUUUUCUGUUAGUAGAGUGGCAAAAGUUCUUUGGAAUAGGACAUCAUAGAGGGUGAGAAUCCCGUAUUUGGUCAUUCUUUCUAGCUUUGUGAUACACUUUCAACGAGUCGGAUUGUUUGGGAAUGCAGUCCAAAAUGGGUGGUAAAUUUCAUCUAAAGCUAAAUAUUGGCGAGAGACCGAUAGCGAACAAGUACCGUGAGGGAAAGAUGAAAAGAACUUUGAAAAGAGAGUUAAACAGUACGUGAAAUUGUCAAAAGGGAAGCGUUUGACACCAGUGUUGUUUUUCCGAAAAUCAAUUACGAAUGUUUUGUUUUUGAGAAGUUAUGACUUCAUCGGCUUGCUUCUCUCUUUACGAAACUUUCUUAAUGCACUUUUCGGUUAACAAGUCAACAUCAAUUUCUUUUGUUGUAAAAGGGUAUGAGGAAGGUGGCUUUCUUUUCGGAGAAAGUGUUUAUAGCCUUGUACCUCUGCAAUCGGAGAGAUUGAGGUCUGCAGCGUAGAUCCUUCGGGGUUAGAUACAUUUGUGCUAAGUUAUAGCUUUUCAUAGACAACUUGUUGACUAUGUUAAGUCUUGUAGCUUACUCGCUUAUGCUAUUUUACCUACGCUUAGGAUGUUGAUAUGCAUGACUGAUAU
rnacentral:rRNA from 1 species